rnacentral:rRNA from 1 species
CACGUAGGGUGCGAGCGUUGUCCGGAAUUAUUGGGCGUAAAGAGCUCGUAGGCGGUGUGUCGCGUCGGCCGUGAAAACCUGUGGCUUAACUAUGGGCUUGCGGUCGAUACGGGCAUCACUGGAGUUCGGCAGGGGAGACUGGAAUUCCUGGUGUAGCGGUGAAAUGCGCAGAUAUCAGGAAGAACACCAAUGGCGAAGGCAGCUCUCUGGGACGGUACUGACGCUGAGACGCGAAAGCGUGGGGAGCGAACAGG